UACAACUCACAGCAUGCAACGCAAACCAAACAGGAACAGAUAUAACAUUUAUUUUCGAGCUGGUAGGUCGCAAUGAUCGGAAGUCGAAGAAUGCUUCUUUUUCAAAAGGUUGACCACUGCCAAGACCCUCGUGAUCAUUGAAAACCCAAACGCUGCGUCAAAAUGAAUGACCACUUUCAUGUCCUAAAUGAUGCUUACAGAAGUUUAUUGUCGAGAACAUCACCCAGCAAAAUGAGUAGCCAUGAGUUGGCAUCCUCCAUGUUCACUUGUGUAUGUGAACUGACUCCAGAUGCCAGUAGUGAUUCUCAGCAUCAGGGCCAGUCCAGAGAUCCCCUAACGUUCUCCGAAUAUUCUCAGAACCCAAAUGGAACUGAACUGGCUUGUCUUGUGUUGACCCUGGUGGAGAAAAUAAGCAUCAAGCUGACAUCUCAACAACUGUCUCAAGAAACCAGCCUUUACUUCAAAGAUGUUUCUACAGUAUUAUUCCAGGAAAUGGAUUUCAUGUCCAAACUUGUUCACCUUGUCUGCUGCAAGGACAGGUUGCUGUCUCAUCUAGCUGCAAAGAGUGUAUCCUCCUAUGUUAUUUUU